rnacentral:rRNA from 1 species
UCAAGCUACUAAGGGCAUACGGCGGAUGCCUAGGCGCCAUCAGCCGAUGAAGGACGCGGUAAGCUGCGAAAAGCUACGGGGAACUGCAAGCAAGUAUUGAUCCGUAGAUGUCCGAAUGGGGAAACCCACCUGCCGUCAUGGGCAGGUAUCCGAAAGGAAGGGAACCCGGGGAACUGAAACAUCUAAGUACCCGGAGGAAGAGAAAUCAAACGAGAUGCCCACAGUAGCGGCGAGCGAAGAGGGCAGAGGGCAAACCGAGGAGCUACGGCUCUUCGGGGUUGAGGACUGCAUUUAGUCUUAAUGGUUUAUCCGAACUACCUGGAAAGGUAGGCAACACAGUGUAAAAGCCACGUAGGUUAAAGACCAAAGAGAUGAGCAGUAUCCAGAGUACCACGAGGCACGAGGAAUCUUGUGGGAAGCCGGGGGGACCACCCUCCAACCCUAAACACUGAAUGGCGACCGAUAGCGCAUAGUACCGUGAGGGAAAGGUGAAAAGAACCCCGGGAGGGGAGUGAAAGAGAACCUGAAACCGUAUGUCUACAAGCAGUCGGAGCGAAAGCGACGGCGUGCCUAUUGAAGAAUGAACCAACGAGUUACGUGCACUAGCGAGGUUAAGUGGAAGACACGGAGCCGAAGCGAAAGCGAGUCUUAAGAGGGCGGAUAGUUAGUGUACGUAGACCCGAAACCGCAGUGAUCUACCCAUGUCCAGGUUGAAGCGCAGGUAAAAUUGCGUGGAGGACCGAACCUGUGAGCGUUGAAAAGCUUUAGGAUGAGAUGUGGGUAGAGGUGAAAUUCCAAUCGAACGCGGAGAUAGCUGGUUCUCCCCGAAAUAGCUUUAGGGCUAGCCUCAAGUAGUAAGUAUAGGCGGUAGAGCACUGAUCGGGCUAGGGGCCAUAAAGGUUACCGAACCCUGUCAAACUCCGAAUGGUUAUACUGUAGAGCUUGGGAGUCAGACUACGAGUGAUAAGAUCCGUGGUCAAAAGGGAAACAGCCCAGACCACCAGCUAAGGUCCCCAAUGUCGUACUAAGUGGAAAAGGAUGUGGGGUCUCUAAAACAACCAGGAUGUUGGCUUAGAAGCAGCCACCAUUUAAAGAGUGCGUAAUAGCUCACUGGUCGAGAGACCCUGCGCCGAAGAUUACCGGGGCUAAAGUACGAAACCGAAGCUGUGGCUACGACUUAGGUCGUGGGGUAGGGGAGCGUUCUGUGAGGGCUGAAGUCGUUCUGUAAGGAACGGUGGACUUCACAGAAGUGAGAAUGUUGGUAUGAGUAGCGAAAAGAAUGGUGAGAAUCCAUUCCACCGAAAGCAUAAGGAUUCCUGGGCAACGAUCGUCGUCCCAGGGUAAGUCGGGACCUAAUCCGAGGCAUGGAGCGUAGGAGAUGGACAACUGGCAGAUAUUCCAGUACCGGUAAUGAUUGUUUGAGCGAUGGAGUGACACAGGAGGGCAGGCAGGCAGGAGAUUGGUUGUUCCUGUACAAGCGUGUAGGAUGGGACGUAGGCAAAUCCGCGUCCUGUGAGUCUGAGGCGUGAUGUGGAGGUUCCGGAAACGGAACUGAAGCUGCUGACCCCACACUGUCGAGAAAAGCUUCUAGUUAGAGAAUUACCGCCCGUACCGUAAACCGACACAGGUAUGCGGGGAGAGAAUCCUAAGGUGCGCGGGAGAACCCUCGUUAAGGAACUCGGCAAAAUGUACCCGUAACUUCGGGAUAAGGGUAGCCGCUGUUGUGAAGUCUGAACAGAUGGAGCAUGAGGCGGUCGCAGAGAAGAGGCCCAAGCGACUGUUUACCACAAACACAGGUGCCUGCUAAAGAGAAAUCUGACGUAUAGGUGCUGACACCUGCCCAGUGCCGGAAGGUUAAGGAAGGAUGUCCGGAGCAAUCCAAAGCAUUCGACCGAAGCCCCGGUGAACGGCGGCCGUAACUAUAACGGUCCUAAGGUAGCGAAAUUCCUUGUCGGGUAAGUUCCGACCCGCACGAAAGGUGU